UGCCUGUCACAUCUGUGAAUGUGGAAUGUGUUUUGUUGGUUGAUUGAAAAACAAGAAAACUUAAUAAAACUUUAAAUUGAAAAAAAACACCAGAAAUUAACACCAGCCACCAGUUCCCAGCCACCAUUUACCCGCCACCAGUUACCCGCCACCAGUUACCCACCAGUUACCAGCCACCAGUUACCAGCCACCAGUUACCAGCCACCAGUUACCAGCCACCAGUUACCAGUCACCAGUCAAAUGGUGCUAGAUUCUGGCAUUGGCUGGUAGAAUGUGUAUUCUUACAGGCCACAUUGGCGGGUGGUCACACAGAGCAUUUGGGAACAGUUAAAUAUGUUUUAUCAAAGCCCACAUGUAAAAAAAAAACAUUAAAAAAAUAAAUAAAUAUAUAUUUGAGUGUGAAUGUGUGUGUGUCAUCUCAAUACCACCAUGCAGAAAGCAGGGUAACAGUGUUUUCUGUGAUGUAUCUAACCCUAACCCUUUAAGAGAGAAUCUCAAUACCACCAUGCUGAAAGCGUAAUGAUUAUAUAAGGAUAUGCUAUAGACUGUGUGGUGUAUUGUGGAUAUGUUAUAGACUGUGUGGUAUAUUGUGUUCAUAGUGGAUAUAUUAUAGACUGUGUGGUGUAUUGUGGAUAUAUUAUAGACUGUGUGGUGUAUUGUGGAUAUAUUAUAGACUGUGUGGUGUAUUGUGGAUAUAUUAUAGACUGUGUGGUGUAUUGUGUUCAUAGUGGAUAUGUUAUACUAUGAGGUGUAUUGUGUUCAUAGUGGAUAUGUUAUAGACUGUGGUGUAUUGUGUUCAUAGUGGAUAUGUUAUA
ensembl:lncRNA